AUUCCUUCUUAUCCUGCACUCAGUUUGUUCAUUGACUGUGGAGCCUGGAAAUGGAGGAGAAAGUAAAUUUGAUGAUUACUAAUACUUCGCUGUCUUUAGAGGACGCGGAGAUUGUGAGACUUGAAACAUUU
rnacentral:snoRNA from 15 species